UCCCCUACGAAAAUAGUGAGUUUUCGGUAAAUGCUCUAUAUAUGAAGCCUAUAAUCUUUUAAUUUGUUUUAAAAUUUAUAACCACAUUAUACAUUUGUAUUAAUAUAUGAUAAACUUCUUUUCAUGGUACAUGGACAUCGUUCUAAAUUUUUUUUAUCCAUUAAUUUAGCAAAACUGAAAAUACUCCCUAAAUCAUUAGACUAACCACUAUAAAAUUGAUAUUUCCUAGAGAAACGGAGACAACAAAGGUUCCAAACCUCUUUGAACUUCAUC
rnacentral:lncRNA from 1 species